rnacentral:rRNA from 1 species
GUAGGUGGCAAGCGUUGUCCGGAAUUAUUGGGCGUAAAGCGCGCGCAGGCGGGUCCUUUAAGUCUGAUGUGAAAGCCCACGGGCUCAACCGUGGAGGGUCAUUGGAAACUGGGGGACUUGAGUACAGAAGAGGAAAGCGGAAUUCCAAGUGUAGCGGUGAAAUGCGUAGAGAUUUGGAGGAACACCAGUGGCGAAGGCGGCUUUCUGGUCUGUAACUGACGCUGAGGCGUGAAAGCGUGGGGAGCAAACAGGAUUAGAUACCCUGGUAGUCCACGCCGUAAACGAUGAGUGCUAAGUGUUAGGGGGUUUCCGCCCCUUAGUGCUGCAGCUAACGCAUUAAGCACUCCGCCUGGGGAGUACGGCCGCAAAGGCUG